rnacentral:rRNA from 1 species
GCAUAUCAAUAAGCGGAGGAAAAGAAACCAACAGGGAUUGCCUCAGUAACGGCGAGUGAAGCGGCAAGAGCUCAAAUUUGAAAGCUGGCCCCUUCGGGGUCCGCGUUGUAAUUUGCAGAGGAUGCUUCGGGUGCAGCCCCCGUCUAAGUGCCCUGGAACGGGCCGUCAUAGAGGGUGAGAAUCCCGUCUGGGACGGGGUGUCUGCGUCCGUGUGAAGCUCCUUCGACGAGUCGAGUUGUUUGGGAAUGCAGCUCUAAAUGGGUGGUAAAUUUCAUCUAAAGCUAAAUACUGGCCGGAGACCGAUAGCGCACAAGUAGAGUGAUCGAAAGAUGAAAAGCACUUUGAAAAGAGAGUUAAACAGCACGUGAAAUUGUUGAAAGGGAAGCGUUUGCGACCAGACUCGCCCGCGGGGUUCAGCCGGCAUUCGUGCCGGUGUACUUCCCCGUGGGCGGGCCAGCGUCGGUUUGGGCGGCCGGUCAAAGGCCCUCGGAAUGUAUCACCUCUCGGGGUGUCUUAUAGCCGAGGGUGCAAUGCGGCCUGCCCGGACCGAGGAACGCGCUUCGGCUCGGACGCUGGCGUAAUGGUCGUAAAUGACCCGUCUUGAAACACGGACCAAGGAGUCUAACAUCUACGCGAGUGUUCGGGUGUCAAACCCGUACGCGCAGUGAAAGCGAACGGAGGUGGGAGCCCCCUCGCGGGGCGCACCAUCGACCGAUCCUGAUGUCUUCGGAUGGAUUUGAGUACGAGCGUAGCUGUGGGGACCCGAAAGAUGGUGAACUAUGCCUGAAUAGGGCGAAGCCAGAGGAAACUCUGGUGGAGGCUCGCAGCGGUUCUGACGUGCAAAUCGAUCGUCAAAUUUGGGUAUAGGGGCGAAAGACUAAUCGAACCAUCUAGUAGCUGGUUCCUGC